rnacentral:rRNA from 1 species
CGAUGCAUGUCGUGUGGUGGAAAGCUUUUGCGGUGUGGGAUGGGCCCGCGGCCUAUCAGCUUGUUGGUGAGGUUACGGCUCACCAAGGCGACGACGGGUAGCCGGCCUGAGAGGGUGACCGGCCACACUGGGACUGAGAUACGGCCCAGACUCCUACGGGAGGCAGCAGUGGGGAAUAUUGCACAAUGGGCGCAAGCCUGAUGCAGCGACGCCGCGUGAGGGAUGACGGCCUUCGGGUUGUAAACCUCUUUCGCCAGGGACGAAGCGCAAGUGACGGUACCUGGAGAAGAAGGACCGGCCAACUACGUGCCAGCA